rnacentral:lncRNA from 1 species
CCCAGGCUGUUGUUCAGUGGCAUGAUCUUGGCUUACGGCAUCCUCUGCCACCUGGGUUCAAGCGAUUCCCCUGCUUCAGCCUCCUAAGUAGCUGGGACUAGAGGUGUGCGCCACCACGCCCGGCUAAUUUUUUUGUAUUUUAGUAGAGAGGGUUUCACCAUGUUGGCCAGGAUGGUCUCCAUCUCCUGACCUCGUGAUCUGCCCACGUUUGCCUCCAAAAGUGCUGGGAUUACAGGCAUGAGCCACGCGCCCAGCCAAGUUUUGUAUUUGUAGUAGAGAUGGUGUUUCACCAUGUUGGCCAGGCUGGUCUUGAACUCCUGACUUCAAGUGAUUCUCCUACCUUGGCCUCCUAAAGUGCUGGGAUUACAGGUGUGAGCCACUGCAUCCAGCCUGAGUUGCUGUGUUUAAAAGAAAGGAGGGGCCGGGCGCGGUGGCUCACGCCUGUAAUCCCAGCACUUUGGGAGGCCGAGGCGGGUGGAUCACGAGGUCAAGAGAUCGAGACCAAUGGUCAACAUGGUAAAACCCCGUCUCUACUAAAAAUACAAAAAAUUAGCUGGGCAUGGUGGUACGUGCCUGUAAUCCCAGCUACUCAGGAGGUUGAGGCAGGAGAAUUGCCUGAACCCAGGAGGUGGAGGUUGCAGUGAGCCGAGAUUGCGCCAUUGCACUCCAGCCUGGGUAACAAGAGUGAAAAUCUGUCUCAAAAAAAAAAAAAGAAAAAGAAAAAGAAAGGAGGGAGGCCAGUGGGGCUGGCAGCUCAUCAUGGUUUUAAUCAUAUCUCUCAUGAUGAAUGAUGAGGAUCUUUUUAUGUGCUUUGAAUAAAUAGACAUAUUUUUAGAAUCUAGCCUUAGUUUAAAUUUGUAACUGUAUAUAAUAAAGAUAUGACACUCCCACGUCUACCAAUUAAAACCUUUUCCUUAAUUUUAAUAGUGAAUCUUUACAGAGAGCCAAAAAGGUGUCUCAUUUUCUAGGGGGCUGUUCCGAACACUUUGUAUGAAUGAACUCACUUCGUCCUUCCAGCCCCUCGCGUGGAGGGCGACUAUAGCUCACGUUGUGGAGUAUUCACAGUGCUGUGUUCCAAGACCUGGACUUGAAUUCACUCCUCGAAUCCCCACCUCCUUAAUUCCAGACAAAAAUCGGGAACCGUCACCAGAAGACUAUGCUGACCACGUGACGUCUUCCAGGCAUCAGGAAAACGACCAACCUCCCUAACGAAUGAAAGAAACUUCACCUGUGUUUGUGUCUCCCAAGGA